AUCGUACGGGAUCUUUUAUUCUUUCCUCUCGGCUGCUGUGUACAGCCUGUGAUUGGACGACCUGAUGUCAGAGGCUAAGGGGUUAAUUGAGUGGCAUCCUCCAUGUGCUGGUCACUGUAGAGUGAUGGGAGAAAGAUCCACUUUUUAAGAUGGUACAGUGGAGGCCUUCCUCUGUGGCACUGACAGAAAGCAAUGCACUGUAAGUGCCUGGGCAGCAUAAGCAAAACAGAAAGGAAUUCAGCCUCUUUUAAAACACUGUUAUAGCUCGAAGGCAACUCAAUCACCAAAUCCAGGUCUCUCUUGUCCAGGGAAAUAAUGCCUAGGAUGUCCUUAAGAAUAGUUUUAGAAAAAGAAAACCGCUAAUAGUGUACUGUGUAAAAUAAUACUUUUAAGGUGCUUGGGUUCAGAUUCAACAUGAAGGCUUGGGGAGAACGCUCCACGCCUAAGGAUGUGGUGCAGAAUCUGCAAACAAUCCUCUUGGCGAUGGAUGGGGUAGUAUGGCAUCUUGCCGUGCAGGUAAGCUAUUGAAAUGUAAUAGACUGAUUGAGAUCUAUCCCAAUGACCUUGUCCAUAAGUGGAGCAGCACUCCAGAGACCAGAGCUGUGAGGGAGAAUAGGUAAAAUCACAUUUUUAGCCCAGGCAGCGGCAUCCUAGUCGGCUAAAUAGAAAUGCG